CAUCCAUAGUUCCAGUCUUCCAGAGUCCAAGUCUUUGUACUCCAGCAAGCUUCCCGCAAAAAAAAAAAAGAAAAGUGUGUAGCAAGCGGCAUGGCUUUCGCGCUAAAGGCGUCCGCGUCCGCGUCCCCGUCGUCCAUGGCUCAUGCGCUGAGCUACCCGGGGCGGCGCGCUUCCUCUGCUCUGGCGGUGGUCGCGCCGGGGAGGCUUGUGGUCAGGACGGUCGCUGCCGCGGCGCCGGCGCCGGUCUCGUUCGACCCGGCGGUGGCGGUGCUCAGAGCGCCGCCGCGUGUCCCAGCGGUAUUCGUGCCCGUCGCCGACAGGCGGAGCCUGUCCGUGGGGCAGACACUGUCCAAGAUCAAGGAGCGGGGCAAGGUAGUACUCCAUCGAUUCUUGCGUGAAUGCAUGCCUGCAGACGGCGUUCACCCCGUACAUCACCGCCGGUGAUCCCGACCUGGCGACCACGGCGGAAGCGCUCAGGCUCCUAGACGCCUGUGGCGCCGACGUCAUCGAGCUCGGCGUGCCCUUCUCGAACUCCUACGUCGACGGGCCGGUCAUCCAGGCCCCCGCAGCACGGGCGCUGGCGUCCUGCACGACGAUCGACGCCGUGCUGUCGAUGCUGAAGGAGGUAACGCCGGACCUGUCCUGCCCGGUGGUGCUCGUCUCGUACCUGCGCCCAAUCGUGCGGCGGGGCGCGGCCAACUUCACCGCCGCUGUCAAACAGGCCGGUGUGCAAGGUCUUAUAGUGUCCGAUCUUCCUUAUACCGAGACAUGUCCAUUCAGAAAUGAAGCCAUCAAAAAUCAGUUUAGCUACACAUCAGUUAGCUGAUUCGAAUUCGGCCUUAGUCGAUUUUUUGAUGAAGGAGAAGGAAGGAGAAAGCAAAGCCUCGCCGGAAAGAAGGAAGGGGCUCGCCGUCAUCACCCCAGUAUCUUAGGGUUCGGGGUGGAGGCGGUGGUGGACGGUGAUGGUGGGGAGCAGUGGUGUGGGGAUUCGCCGGAGAAAAAGUUCAGCACGGGGGCCCUAGAGGGAUGGCCGGGGCGGUGGAGGACCGACGGUGGGGAGUGGUUCCGGGGAGCGCGGAGCGGCGAGGCGGCGCGGAGGCCGACGGUUAGGCCGGUGGUGGCUGGCGGCUCAGGGAAGGAGAUGAGUCGAGAGGAUGAAGAAGAUCAUGGGCCAUUGAUUUCUCAUCCAACAGUUCAAGAAUCGAUUGACCUCAAACGAAAAUUUUCAGCUAAUUGAUUUCUAGCCACACCCAUAGAAAAUAACCUAGAGCUUGUUUGUGUUCUCCCUCUUCAGCAAUGUACAGUAUCUGAAACAAAACAGAGCAGGAUUUGUAGUGCCAGCCAUUAAUAAUUUUCUAUUUGAAUUAAUGUUUUCAGGUGCUACUUACAACACCAGCCACACCAGCAGAGAGGAUGAAAAAAAUCAUUAAUGCCUCAGAAGGCUUUGUUUACCUUGAAAGUGUCAAUGGAGUUACAGGUCUACGAGCAACAGUGAACCCACGUGUCAGAGACCUUCUAAGGAGAUUAAGCAUGUUCGAACAAAUAAUAAUAAAAUUCAUCCCUUUUGUCAACGAUCUUGUCAAAAUUAUCGCCCUGCAUAUACUCAUGCAUGUCUGCAUAUAUGCUCAAAUGGUUUUCCCUAUUGUCUGCAGGUCACUGACAAAGCAGUGGUUGUUGGCUUUGGUAUAUCAACACCUGAUCAUGUUAGACAGAUUGCUUAGUGGGGUGCAUAUGGGGUGAUCGUUGGUAGUGCAAUGGUGAAACAACUGGGUGAAGCGGCUUCUCCGGGAGAAGGGUUGAAGAGGCUAGAAUUCGCCAGGAGCCUGAAGGAUGCGCUACAAUAAUAUGUGUCGUGGUUUUGUCACGGCAGAUGCCCUUGCAAAAGGAUUUAGGUGUGAAGCCAUCGCAACGUAGGUUAGCUCGAAGGGGUUGAACGGAACGAGAGACACGAGUUUACCCAGGUUCGGCCCCUCACUCACGAGGUAAAAGCCUUCCUGCUUUAUGUUGUAUUGAUUGGGUAUCGAUUACAAGGAGCGGAAUCGCUUGACCUAGCUAUCGAUCGAUUGUAACUUGAGUUAAUCCACCGCAGGGUCUCACCUUGAUAUACACAGGUCGAGGCCCUUGGCUUACAAGAGUCCUAAUCGGAUCACACGACGUGACCAACUCGGGUUAUAAGCCACCUUGCGUUGCUAGGCAAGUCGCCAUGUGGCGGCUCACAUCUCCGGGUUACAGCACCCCCUCUGGGUCUUGGGCCUUUAAUAGGCCCGCCUUGUAAGCCGCCUCCAGUCUUCAUAUCUCAUCUUCAUAGGCCCACUUAAGCCCUUACUAUUGAGUCACCAAUAGUGUAACCCGGCCCCACCUGGGCGGGUCACAUCACGGGGUUAUAUCCCCAACAAUAUGUAAUGUGGAAGCAUAGUUCAUUCCCUACAAUGCCAUGAUAUGUGAAAAUAAAGGCAGUGAAUGGUUUUAGGUUUGUGGUCAAGUAUGAAAGGUUAGAAGUAAUAGCGUUGCCUAACACUAGUUUGCUCUGUUUUUUUUCGGGGGAAGCUACUCUAGAAGUGCAACCAAAGCCACUCAAUCAUUUGCUUUGUUGGAGUUGCAAAGGGUUUGUUUAUGAGCCCUUACGAAUUGAUUGUAAUAUAUUGUUUCAUGUGCUCGUAGUAAUCAUGUAUUAAUGUGGUAGAAAGCACACACGCUUCGGGUCUUACGUCCAUAUCAUAUUUGUAAUUUAAAGAGGAGUAGGAUUGCUCACAGUGGUGUGCCCGAUCAAUCAAGCCCCUCAUGCCUUGGGAAAGUAUCAAAUCAUCCUCCAAGCUAUUCCCAGAAGGCGGGUUUGGCUACUGAAAGGGAGCAACAUGGAACUCCUGUUGAUCAAGACGAAGGACAAAGGUCGCCUAACAGUGACUCCGAGGAGUAUCUCAAGG